UGGGGAAUUUUGGACAAUGGGGGGAACCCUGAUCCAGCAACGCCGCGUGAAUGAAGAAGGCCUUAGGGUUGUAAAGUUCUUUUAUAUAGGAGCAAAGUCUGAGUGGUAAUAUAAUUCAGGUAUGAGAGUACUAUAUGAAUAAGCACCGGCUAACUACGUGCCAGCAGCCGCGGUAAUACGUAGGGUGCGAGCGUUAAUCGGAAUUACUGGGCGUAAAGGGUGAGUAGGCGGGACUAUAAGUUAGAUGUGAAAUACCUGUGCUUAACAUAGGAGGUGCAUUUAAGACUGUAGACCUAGAGUAUGUGAGAGGCUGGUAGAAUUCCAAGUGUAGCAGUGAAAUGCGUAGAGAUUUGGAGGAAUACCGAAGGCGAAGGCAGCCAGCUGGGAUAAUACUGACGCUGAGUCACGAAAGUGUGGGUAGCAAACAGGAUUAGAUACCCCCGUAGUCC
rnacentral:rRNA from 1 species